rnacentral:rRNA from 1 species
AAAUCUGGCGUCCUCAGGGCGUCCGAGUUGUAAUCUAUAGAGGCGUUUUCCGUGCCGGACCGUGUCCAAGUUCCUUGGAACAGGAUAUCAAAGAGGGUGACAAUCCCGUACUUGACACGACGACCGGUGCUCUGUGAUACGUCUUCUACGAGUCGAGUUGUUUGGGAAUGCAGCUCAAAAUGGGUGGUGAGUUCCAUCUAAAGCUAAAUAUUGGCGAGAGACCGAUAGCGAACAAGUACCGUGAGGGAAAGAUGAAAAGCACUUUGGAAAGAGAGUUAAACAGUACGUGAAAUUGUUGAAAGGGAAACGAUUGAAGUCAGUCGUGACCGAGAGGCUCAGCCGGUUCUGCCGGUGUAUUCCCCUCGGUCGGGUCAACAUCAGUUUUGUCCGGUGGAUAAGGGCGGUAGGAAGGUGGCACCCUCGGGUGUGUUAUAGCCUGCCGUCGCAUACAUCGGGUGAGACUGAGGAACGCAGCUCGCCUUUAUGGCCGGGGUUCGCCCACGUCCGAGCUUAGGAUGUUGACAUAAUGGCUUUAAACGACCCGUCUUGAAACACG